AGAGUUUGAUCCUGGCUCAGAACGAACGCUGGCGGCGUGCUUAACACAUGCAAGUCGAACGAGAAAGUUUUCUUCGGAAAGCGAGUAGAGUGGCGCACGGGUGAGUAACGCGUAGGUAAUCUACCCUUAUGACUGGGAUAACAUUGAGAAACUGGUGCUAAUACCGGAUACACUUCUUUACUGCGGGGUAAAGGAGGAAAGGUGGCCUCUUCACGAAAGCUACCGUAUAGGGAUGAGCCUGCGUACCAUUAGCUAGUAGGCGGGGUAACGGCCCACCUAGGCAACGAUGGUUAGCGGGUCUGAGAGGAUGAUCCGCCACACUGGAACUGGAACACGGACCAGACUCCUACGGGAGGCAGCAGUGAGGAAUAUUGCGCAAUGGGGGAAACCCUGACGCAGCGACGCCGCGUGAGUGAGGAAGGUUUUCGGAUCGUAAAGCUCUGUCAGAAGGGAAGAAGUGUUAUAUGGCUAACACCCAUAUAAUUUGACGGUACCUUCAGAGGAAGCACCGGCUAACUCCGUGCCAGCAGCCGCGGUAAUACGGAGGGUGCAAGCGUUGUUCGGAAUUACUGGGCGUAAAGGGCGCGUAGGCGGCUGGAUAAGUCAGAUGUGAAAGUCCAUGGCUCAACUGUGGAAGUGCAUUUGAAACUGUCCGGCUUGAGUAUCGGAGGGGAGUGUGGAAUUCCCGGUGUAGAGGUGAAAUUCGUAGAGAUCGGGAGGAACACCGGUGGCGAAGGCGACACUCUGGACGAAUACUGACGCUGAGGCGCGAAAGCGUGGGGAGCAAACAGGAUUAGAUACCCUGGUAGUCCACGCCGUAAACGAUGUGAACUAGGGAUAGGGGGUGUUGAUCCCUCCUGUCCCGCAGCUAACGCAUUAAGUUCACCGCCUGGGGAGUACGGUCGCAAGAUUAAACUUAAAGGAAUUGACGGGGGCCCGCACAGC
rnacentral:rRNA from 1 species